rnacentral:misc_RNA from 1 species
GAUGAAGAACGUAGCGAAAUGCGAUAAGUAAUGUGAAUUGCAGAAUUCAGUGAAUCAUCGAAUCCUUGAACGCACCUUGCGCCCUUUGGCCAUUCCGAAGGGCAUGCCUGUUUGAGUAUCAUGAACACCUCAACUCUUCAUGGUUUUCCGUGAUGAGCUUGGACUUUGGGGGUCUUGCUGGCCUAUGGUCAGCUCCUCUAAAAUAAAUCAGCUUGCCAGUGUUUGGUGGGUAUCACAGGUGUGAUAACUAUCUACGCUUGUGGUUUUCCACCAGGUAACCUUCAGCAGUGGAGGUUCGCUGGAGCUCACAGAUGUGUCUCUCCUCAGUGAGGACAGCUCUUUGAAUGUUUGAUCUCAAAUCAGGUAGGACUACCCGCUGAACUUAAGCAUAUCAAUAAGCGGAGGA